rnacentral:rRNA from 1 species
GAUGAACGCUAGCGGCAGGCUUAAUACAUGCAAGUCAAGGGGUCAGCAAUGGCACCGGCGGACGGGUGAGUAACGCGUACACAACGUACCUUUAACUGGGGGAUAGCAUCUGGAAACGGGUGGUAAUACCGCAUGUGGUUGCGAGGAGGCAUCUCUUUGUAACUAAAAACUUAGGUGGUUAGAGAUCGGUGUGCGUCUGAUUAGCUAGUUGGUAGGGUAGAGGCCUACCAAGGCGACGAUCAGUAGGGGGCGUGAGAGCGUGAACCCCCACACGGGUACUGAGACACGGACCCGACUCCUACGGGAGGCAGCAGUAAGGAAUAUUGGUCAAUGGAGGGAACUCUGAACCAGCCAUGCCGCGUGAAGGAAGAAGGCGCUACGCGUUGUAAACUUCGUUUUAAGGGGGAAGAAUAAAGUGACGGUACCCCUUGAAUAAGCCCCGGCUAACUACGUG